rnacentral:lncRNA from 1 species
GAAUUUGCACAACGUUUUCCAUGUGUCGCAACUUCGAAAGUAUGUUCCGGAUCCAUCUCAUGUAAUCCAAAGUGACGAUGUGCAAGUUAGAGACAACCUUACGGUAGAGACUUUACCGGUGAGGAUUGAUGAUCGUAAAGUGAAGACGUUGAGAGGCAAGGAGAUACCUCUCGUGAGAGUCGUUUGGACGGGAGCGACUGGUGAAAGCUUGACGUGGGAGCUUGAGAGUAAGAUGCUGGAGUCUUAUCCAGAGUUGUGAUCGUGCUUAGUGUGCAGUU